rnacentral:lncRNA from 1 species
UUUGCAAGUCGUAAUUAUACAGAGACUGCUAGAGUUGCUCUCACUGGUGUGACACAACUAGGCAAAACUGAUAAAAGACCAAAGAAAAAAAAAAAAUGCUCGAGCGGGCUUUCUUUCGGCAAAUGAACUGCGCGCCGUAGGACCCUCUACCCGGACACGGACCGCGCCAACAAAACAGGGGAGGCGGGAAAACCGCCCCCCAGCCCCAAUCCAAUCCCGCGCCACACUCCUCCCUUCGUCUUCCCCCGCCGCUCCCCGAUUCGAAACCCUAGCAAGGGUUCUACAACCUUCCGGAUCGGGAGCGGAGGCCACCGGACGAUGGCCGACGGCGCGCUGCUCGACCUGCUGCCCCAGAUCCACGCCCUCUUCUCCGACCAGCUCCGCGUG